AUUGAACGCUGGCGGCAGGCCUAAUACAUGCAAGUCGAGCGGUAGCACAGAGAGCUUGCUCUCGGGUGACGAGCGGCGGACGGGUGAGUAAUGUCUGGGAAACUGCCUGAUGGAGGGGGAUAACUACUGGAAACGGUAGCUAAUACCGCAUAACGUCGCAAGACCAAAGUGGGGGACCUUCGGGCCUCAUGCCAUCAGAUGUGCCCAGAUGGGAUUAGCUAGUAGGUGGGGUAACGGCUCACCUAGGCGACGAUCCCUAGCUGGUCUGAGAGGAUGACCAGCCACACUGGAACUGAGACACGGUCCAGACUCCUACGGGAGGCAGCAGUGGGGAAUAUUGCACAAUGGGCGCAAGCCUGAUGCAGCCAUGCCGCGUGUGUGGAGAAGGCCUUCGGGUUGUAAAGCACUUUCAGCGGGGAGGAAGGCGUUAAGGUUAAUAACCUUGGCGAUUGACGUUACCCGCAGAAGAAGCACCGGCUAACUCCGUGCCAGCAGCCGCGGUAAUACGGAGGGUGCAAGCGUUAAUCGGAAUUACUGGGCGUAAAGCGCACGCAGGCGGUCUGUCAAGUCGGAUGUGAAAUCCCCGGGCUCAACCUGGGAACUGCAUUCGAAACUGGCAGGCUAGAGUCUUGUAGAGGGGGGUAGAAUUCCAGGUGUAGCGGUGAAAUGCGUAGAGAUCUGGAGGAAUACCGGUGGCGAAGGCGGCCCCCUGGACAAAGACUGACGCUCAGGUGCGAAAGCGUGGGGAGCAAACAGGAUUAGAUACCCUGGUAGUCCACGCCGUAAACGAUGUCGAUUUGGAGGUUGUGCCCUUGAGGCGUGGCUUCCGGAGCUAACGCGUUAAAUCGACCGCCUGGGGAGUACGGCCGCAAGGUUAAAACUCAAAUGAAUUGACGGGGGCCCGCACAAGCGGUGGAGCAUGUGGUUUAAUUCGAUGCAACGCGAAGAACCUUACCUGGUCUUGACAUCCACAGAACUUUCCAGAGAUGGAUUGGUGCCUUCGGGAACUGUGAGACAGGUGCUGCAUGGCUGUCGUCAGCUCGUGUUGUGAAAUGUUGGGUUAAGUCCCGCAACGAGCGCAACCCUUAUCCUUUGUUGCCAGCGGUUAGGCCGGGAACUCAAAGGAGACUGCCAGUGAUAAACUGGAGGAAGGUGGGGAUGACGUCAAGUCAUCAUGGCCCUUACGACCAGGGCUACACACGUGCUACAAUGGCAUAUACAAAGAGAAGCGACCUCGCGAGAGCAAGCGGACCUCAUAAAGUAUGUCGUAGUCCGGAUUGGAGUCUGCAACUCGACUCCAUGAAGUCGGAAUCGCUAGUAAUCGUAGAUCAGAAUGCUACGGUGAAUACGUUCCCGGGCCU
rnacentral:rRNA from 1 species